GCCACUCCAUGGAUCAAUGCAGGGCCUUACUCUAGGCCAGCUCCUCUUACAGGCAAAGUGCUGCUCACUGGGAAGAUCUCCGGUCCCCAGUGUUUGGGGCUACCCUUAAGUGGGGCCAUAAUCACUAUAACAGUCCACUUUCGGCUGGUGCUGGCAUAUGGUACAGAGCCAUCUAAAUCAGAUAUUUAUUGAGCACCAGCUGUGUGGCCGACCAGAGCCCAGGGCUAGAGCAGUGGCUUUCUAAAUGUCACCCUUCACGCACGUGGACCUUGAUGCACAUCCUUCUUCCUGUUUGUCUUGCGGCUGCGCAAAGGACCCCAUGGUUAGAAGACCAUACCGUGGAAGGCAGCGAAGCAGUUCUGUCAAGAAGCAGGGGAGCCAAAGCUAAUAUACAGUCAUGUCUGCUGAAAUGUUUAUUUUACACAAUUCUUGAAAAGUGAACAGAAACCAUGAUUUUAAAUUGGAUUAAGAGAGAUUAUGUGUGUGUGUGUGGGGGGUGGAAUCAGAUGCACAGAGUGUUUAAGGGAGAACAGUUUGGAGACCAGAGUCAGAUUUUUUGUGGUUAUUCGUCUUCCUCCAGGUUGUUUCCCCAAGCUCAGAGCUGGCUCUGAAAUCAGUAGGCAUUUUGGACGGAGAACGAAAAGAAACAACAGUGGGGAAAUAGAGAUUUCUUGGUACCGAUUCUGAAGCUCUUUCACAGUUAACAUAUUUUUUUUCAGUGCUUCCCAAAUAUUUCUCUCUUUCCAGGGACGAGAAUGCUUAUGCCCCUGGCCCUUCUCCAGUUGGGAUUUUACCUGAGAAUUUAAAUAAACCAUCAGCAGAGUGCUUGGUGGGCAAAGAAUUCAGAGCCAAGGAGAGUGAAUCUUAUAGGAGAAGUUGCAUCCGGGUGAGGGAGUGACAGCCGGACCCCUGGCCCACAGAUGGCAGCCUGUCUACCUCUGUGACUACACCUCUGCCUGUCAUCCCCCAUCUCACGGCCUAGGCUGUGCCCCCAUCAAGCUUGCCAGUCCCUGGUGACUUGGCCUUACCUCUUUUCCUGAGUUCUGGACUCUGGGUUCACCCCUUGGCCAAGUCAUGCACCUGCAGGUAUUCAUUGAGCUCCUGCC